GAUAGACGCGGUGUGUUUUGCAGAGCGGCAAGUUAGAGUGACCCAUUUUGCCAAAUUCCUCUGAGUAACUGACAAGUGGCAGUGCAAUUCAACACUUAAGCUGACAACUCCCAACUAGAAAAAACAAUGGGCUGUAAAAUCAUGUGUUGAUGAAUUUGUAAGUUCCGAUUGAUGAAGAUAGUUACAUGGAUAUUAUUUCAGAUAAUUGAUCUACUGUUACUAAUAAUGUAACAUUGCUAGAUUGAGGAUGUAUGCUGCUAGCUUGGAGGUAUUACAUUUGCGCGAGUGCCAUUGUUAGUUAAAUGUCGCUGUACUGCAUACGAUUCAUUUACUCGUGGACAACUUUUCUUUGGUAGGUUCCUGCAUGUAUCAAUGUGAAUUCAUUUGUUUUCUUUUAUUCAUGUUUGCUUCUGUGCCAUCCAUCAAUCUGUGUACACUCUCAUAUUUUUUGGCAUUCAUUGCUGUUGAAUUCUGCAUGAGAUGAGUAAUUGUUGGUGUCUUAUCCAAUAGGAAAACCACGGGAUUGUAUAUUUGUUUGUUUUUUGGUGCAUGGAAGCAAACCUUGUGCAAGGUUAUAAAAAGUAUGUCAUAUUUGCAUCAAGUGAAGGUCCAUUGUUCUAAAUGAAAUAUUAUUCUAUCUGUUAGCAAUUUCAUUAUUCCUAGAAUGUAUAGUGUUCUGGGUCUUUCCUGCUUGAUCUUCUACAUGGACGAUUUGCCCUGGGGAUGCUAUUUUCAUGCCUAUAUUUUCACUUUUUAAUAUUUAUCAUUCUUGCGCUUUGUAUCAUCAAGGUUCACCACUUGUCUUUUUAUGUAUUAUCACCUAGUUAUUUGUUCUUGUAAAUGCUUCGAUGCUCCAUAAUUUUAGUUUAGUCACUGAACCCUCACAGUUCUUGGGCUGUGAGUAUGUCUAUCACCUUGAUUUUGUUUUAACAUCUUGGCAGUUGUCGGUAAAAUCAUUCUUUGUUUGUUGUUAUCUAAACAUGGUAGUGUUGAACACUUGAUGAUGUAUGUUUGCACUUUGCAGUACGAGUUUGGCCCUGUUUUAUACCUUCAAAAUUAACUGUCAUGGCCUCGCAGCCUUGCGUAGAUGCCCCAAACCAUUCUAUCUAGCUCAUUCUUGCACUUUCCUGCGGUAAAACGUAAACAAGUUUGAUUGAGCAGUCUAGUUAGACUAUAAAUGUUUAUAUGUCAUGUCAAUGUAGUUUGCAUAGUGCAUGCUAUUGCUUCUGAAUGAUACAUUAGCGAAUAAUGAUUCCACACUUGUGAUGAUUGCUGUAGAUUUAAGCUUAGUAAAUUUGUUUUGCUGAUCUUGUUCUGUCUGGAAAUCCCACGUUACAGUAACCUUUUCAUAUGGCUAACCAAUCAUAAUAAUUCUGCAUUUUGAAUGCUUAGGACUGCACUGCUGGAUAUUGGUAAGCACUACUAGAAAUAUAACAACUUGGUCACUUCACUUCCUCCAGUUACAGUGCAUGCAUCAGACCAGGACAUGCAGAAGAGUUAUGUGUCAUUUUAUUGAUGGUUCAUGCCCAUAAAUUCUUAGAUAAUUUAUUCCAUCCUUCCAUAAAUUCAGCCAGUUGCAAGAUUUUAAAUAGACUGCCAAACCGUGGAGCAAUUGGGGGCACAUAAAUACUAUUAACAUCCAAUCCAGGCUUUUAGCAGGCCUAACCACAGCUAGAAGAAUUUAUAGAGCAGUUGUUCGCAUAUUUGUUGUUCAUGACCAGGCACAACCUUAUUUGUGUCAAAUUGCAUUCUAGAAUUUUACUUUAAAUUGCAUCCUAGAAUUUGCAAGAGUUAAGCGAAAAGAACAAAUUGCAGGCUAGAAUUUUACUUUAAAUAGAUAAAUCAAAUUUGCAGACUAUAACUUUGUUGUUCUAUAAUUUGACAUCCAAUCUAGACUGUUAGCAAGCCUAACUGGAACUAGAAGUAUUUUAGUGAAACAAUCAGACAAUACAAUUCAAAAGAUAUAUAAGCAGAAUCAUAUGGAGCAAGUUUUAGGUUAAAUACAUUGCAAUGACCAUUCUAAUGUAUGUAGUCUAUGGAGCAGAAUCAUAUGGAGUCAGUGCAGCUAGCAAUAUACGCCUACAAAUAAUUUAAUAGAUGACAUUUGUGCUGACAUUUAAGCCCCACUUCUCCCAUUUUUUUCUUAUGCUUCUGUUAUGUUACUUGGAGAAUCUAUGUUAAAAUUUGCAUAUGUAGUCUAUCCUAUAAGAUAGAUGCAUGCAGGCUCCAUUUUUCUAUGGUGAAAACAAAAAAACGAUGAUAUGGUCUUGAUAUUAUCUACACUUCCAUGUUGUUGAUUGUACGUGUUGUUUUGGUGCCUAAUUGUUUUACUUCCAUUGUUCCUUUCUUUAUAGGUGACUGGAUUCUAAGCGAGGCUACUCAUCACCCGUAACUUUGGAAGUGUCGGUUAGUUGACAUACUAUUCACUUGUACCUCGUGCGAUUUCUUAUACGUGUACUUAUGUGCGUUCUAUGGGACGCACUGACGCCCAUAAAUUGAUUCGUGACUAUGUAGGUAUGUGUAGUGUUGUUGUGUGUACCUUGAAUUUCUUUCUACAUCUUCCUGUGGUGGCAUAGAAUGCGUGCAGUAAGGUAUGGUCUACCCUCUGUUUGACGUGCCUCGUGUCUUUAUGGUCGAUAUGCUUUUUUGUUUAAAUGAUGUUUCUCUGUUGCUCCCUCUGGGUAACAGAUUGUUAUUGACUUGGGUGUUGCCUAAUGGCCCUUGUGCCUCCUACCUCGCCUCUAAUCUGGGGUAGUGGGACCUUCAGGCCUACAAAGUUGUUUUAUUGAGCUAGGAAUGAAGCUAGUACCGGAUGCAACUUGCAUCAUAUCUCUCUUACAUUUAUGAACUAGCGGUUGAUCCAAUCCAUAUGUGUGAUCUCCCCUCAUCUACUUGCAGCUGCAUUCCACCAAUGGUCAGAUUGAUGCAUAAAUCAUCAUGUGCGUGGUGAUUCAGGAUAAACUAAUUGCCUGAUUGGGUUUUUGGUGCUGCCAAUUUAUCUGCGUAAGUUUUUGUAUUGUUGUCGUACAUCUCCAUAAGCUUUUCUAAUCUACACAAGCUUUUCUAACUGGUUUGAAUAGAGAAUAAGAUUAACAUCUUGUGAAGGAUUGUUGGGAUAUAUAAUAGUGCAAAUGUAGUUCAGGUGACCUUUUGGAUCUCCCUGCAAUUACUUAUUAACUAGACGUAUAACUCAGAUUUACAAGAAGGCAGAAAAUGAUGCAAAAUCUAUGUGUCCUUUUGGAUCUCACCAAUUGUCAGCACGUCUGCUUAUAGCGAAGUUCUAGAGAAGGAAAAGAUGGAAUUAAACUUAAAUUUUGGUGGCUGCAUAAGUGUGGAGACUUGAAUUGAUAUAUGCUUAGUUAGGCUCAACGUUAGCGCAAACCGUUGAUGCAAACAGUUGAUGACCAAGUUUUUCCAUUAGUAUUUUAGUAUGGAUUUAAAGUACACUUAUGUAUGAGUUAUUUGACAAUGCUUAUUUAUGAGAUAUUGAAUGAUACUUAUCUAUAUUAU
rnacentral:lncRNA from 7 species